rnacentral:rRNA from 1 species
AGUGAACGCUGGCGGUAGGCCUAACACAUGCAAGUCGAACGGCAGCACAGUAAGAGCUUGCUCUUACGGGUGGCGAGUGGCGGACGGGUGAGGAAUACAUCGGAAUCUACUUUUUCGUGGGGGAUAACGUAGGGAAACUUACGCUAAUACCGCAUACGACCUACGGGUGAAAGCAGGGGAUCUUCGGACCUUGCGCGAAUGAAUGAGCCGAUGUCGGAUUAGCUAGUUGGCGGGGUAAAGGCCCACCAAGGCGACGAUCCGUAGCUGGUCUGAGAGGAUGAUCAGCCACACUGGAACUGAGACACGGUCCAGACUCCUACGGGAGGCAGCAGUGGGGAAUAUUGGACAAUGGGCGCAAUCCUGAUCCAGCCAUACCGCGUGGGUGACGAAGGCCUUCGGGUUGUAAAGCCCUUUUGUUGGGAAAGAAAAGCAGCAGGUUAAUACCCCGCUGUUCUGACGGUACCCAAAGAAUAAGCACCGGCUAACUUCGUG